AGAAGGUAGUUCAAAGUUGGGAUACUUCUAUCUUAAAGAAUUUUUCAUUCUCAAUCCAACGGAUCAAGUUUUGUUGUAAUCCGUGUUCGUUUGGGGCAUGAACUUGACAGUUCUAACUGAUUGCGCAAAAUCCUACGGGAGCGAGGAUUUCGCAACUACCUGGAGUUUAUCCUUAUCUUGCACAUGGAUAGUUGAGUUUGUGAGGGACUUAUAACUUGAGGUUGUUUCUCUUUAAAAGGACCCUCAAGGAUGGGGUUUGAGAUGAGAGAGAGAUCAUUGAGGGAUCUUCUUAUAUCUAUGAG
rnacentral:lncRNA from 1 species